GGUGACGUUUCAUCGAAAUAGAUAGUGUUUUCAAUAUGUUAAGUGUGGUAGCAUUGCUUGGAUUCCUUGGAGUAUUUUCAGCUCACCUCUGUUUAGUAGAACCUCAUCAGAGUGGUAUGUACACUCAUUUAUAUAAUGUAAUUCUUUAUUAAACACUCAGACACAAAAUAUGUGUUACAUGAGGACAAGUUACAAAUCAAAUACAAUAAAUGACAGAAUAGACAGAUAAUUAUUAACAAAAGUGUAAUUUCUAAAGAUAAUAAAACUUGUAAGAUACAUGCAUCUUUCUAAAUGAAGGUAGAUAGUUUCUUAAUAAAUAUACCAGGCUCAAGCUAGCAGCCACUCGCUAGCAGCCAAUACGCUAGCAGCCAGUUUUCGGAUAUGUCUAUGAACCAAAAAAUUGCAUAAGAUUCAAACGUACUCAAUUUUUUUUUAUUAAUAUAUAAUAACCAAUGUGUCAUCAGUGUUUAAUAUAUAAUAAAGCAGUCGGAGAACUAUUCGAUGAUUUAAAAAAUAUCUAGUCCUGUUCAUUAAUUUGAGACAAUAGUAAUCGAUGUCAAUAUACCAAACAGUGUGCUCCCCGCUUUUAAUUUUAAUAGUCAACAGUUUUAAGUGUACAUGGAAUCGUAAAUAUGUAAUAAAAAUUAUUCAAAUGCUUAAAAAAUUUGUAACAGGGAAUUGACAUUAAAAUCAUAAAUUAAUUUUGUGAUAUUGUGUCAAAACAGCUUUCCAUAUUCUCGGCAUCUGUCAAAUAGUUCCUGAAAAGUUAUAAUUGUUCUGCAUGACAAGAAAGAAGUUUCACUCGUGCAUUAAUAUUUUUUAUUAGACAAUGUUUAACGAAAAUUCUAUUUCUGAAGCAGUGGAUAUCGACUACUUUUGAAUAGACAAAAGGUUUAUAUUUUGUACAUCAAGUAUGGUGGGCAGGGAAAUUAUUUAUAAUCUUUAAAAAAAAAAAAAAAAAAAAAAGUAUUGCUGUCGAACAUUUUUUAUUAACAUUUCCGUAAGGGUGGGGUAGGGUGUCCGACCCCAACUUUGGACCUAAUUAAAAAAAAUUUAAGCCUAAGCACACCCUGGAUUUUUUCUCAAGUAAACCUUACCUAUUCAGCUUCACAUUGCACCUAGUGGCGAAAAAAGUAUUGCCGUCAAACAUUUUUUAUUAACAUUUCCGUAAGGAUGGGAUAAGGUGUCCGACACCAACUUUAGACCUAAUUUAAAAAAAAAUCUGAGCAUAAGCACACCCUGAAUUUUUUCUCAAGUAAAACUUACCUAUUCAGCUUCACAUUGCACCUAAUGGCGAAAAAAGUGUUGCCGUCAAACAUGUUUUAUUAACAUUUCCGUAAGGGUGGGGUAGGGUGUCCGAUCCAAACUUUAGACCUAAUUUUACAAAAAUCUAAGCCUAGGCACACCCUGAAUUUUUUCUCAAGUAAACCUUACCUAUUCAGCUUCACAUUGCACCUAGCGGCGAAAAAAGUAUUGCCGUCAAACAUUUUUUAUUAACAUUUCCGUAAGGGUGGGUAGGUGUCCGACCCCAACUUUGACCUAAUUUAAAAAUCUAAGCCUAAGCACACCCUGGAUUUUUUCUCAAGUAAACCUUACCUAUUCAGCUUCACAUUGCACUUAGUGUCGAAAAAAGUAUUGCCGUUGAAUUUAUUUUAUUAACAUUUCCGUUAGGGUGGGGUUGGGUGGCCAAAUAUAUGAUCAAUCGUCAAAAUCUGAUACUUUUAUACGAGAAGCCAUAUCUGCUGCAGGAAAAUUGAAGUCUAUGUUAAAACUUUCAGAAUUACAUCAUGGAGUGUCUGCAGAUUAAAAAUACAUCAAAUGAGGACCAAUAACUGCACUCUGCCGCUACCGCUCUAUGGCGCGAUAUUAAAAACCUCGUUUUUUACUCGGAUGGCUACCCUAGUGCCAAGGAAUGAUACUACACUCAUAUUUGCAAAUUCCAACAUUUUUUUUGGCUUGAAAUUUUCAAAACUUGCAACCACCAGGAAAAGAUAAAGGUUCAUAACAUUUUUGUUAAACAAGAUAUUUAAAAAUAAUUAGUUUUUUCAAUUGGAAAUAAUUUUUUUUUUAAAUAUCUUGUAAUUUUGGUUUAAUACUAACACUGAAAAAAAAGAUUAGCAAACGACAUCUUAUGACUAAGUACAUAAACUGAUCGUAUCAACACUACACAAAAAUAUGAAUUACAAUAACAGUGCUUAGUGGAUCAUGGAUUAUGACCAAAGUAUUUCCAUCAAUAAACACUUGUUUAUGCGAUUAAAUACGACAAUUCUACUACUUGAACGAUCUUUUUUGAUUUGUUGAAAAACAAACUGCUAUCGCGAAAAUAUGAUAGUUUUUUACACCAUGUGUUAUAAAAUUCUAAUUAUCCUGCAUCAUGAAUCGUUUGCAGAAGCUGGAAAUUACAAUGUAUAACGAACUUGUUAUACUAGGCGAAGGAAAAAUCCCGAAAACUUCAAGUAACAAAUGGAAAAAAAUAUUCAACCCUAACACGGUAAAAUCUAACGAAGCUGUUUACACUUUUGUUUAAUUUACAACUUAAAACCAACAGUUCUUUUCGUUGAUUUUUGCAAGAAUCUACACAGCAUGUUGACUUUAAAUCAUUAAUUUUUACAAUAAAAUUUUUAAAAAUAUGCUAAAAUAUUAAGUUCCUAGUUUAUAAUAAAGAAAAAAAAUCAGCAUCAAAUUUAGCUAACCAGUCAGCAGUCGCAGAUUUACUUAUUGUUACUGUACAUUGACCUUACAAAUAUUUUCAUAUGUAUAACUGACGUCGACAUUUGGGCCAUAUACCACAAUCAAUGUCCUCCCUAUGUGUUCUUUGUAACGUUUUGUCACAUAACAACAGACCAUGAACGGUUUCUGCAAGUUUUUGGUAUGUGCAAUGUUUGGGAAAAGUCCCAGUAUAUAUCCAAAAUUUAGAAAAAUGGCACUGACUCAAUUAAAAAAAGCCUAUACACAUCCUUAGGGAUAUGGAGUAGACAAGAGGUGUUCCGAAAACUGUCAAUAUUACCUUUUGGCACCUGGCAUAAUCACAUUUGUAUGUAAUUUAUUAAAAAUGUGCGCACGGUCAACGCUUUUAUAACCCUAUAAAUUUACUAAAUGAAGCAUUCAAUACUUACACCGAACAGCAAGAUAUGAAGGGCCCCACAAAUGGCAUGCGUAAAACCAUUCAAACUGGAAAACCAACGGUCUAAUCUAUAUCAUUGAAAAUAAUAGAAAAACUAAUUAACCACACAUUUUUUUUCUAGGAUCAUAAAAACACGAUUCCUAUCAAGUUUUUCUUAUAUAUGCCUGUGCACUUUAUUGUGGAUGCUCAUGUCAUCUUGAAUGUUACAUAAAAUGUAGGCUAAUUUCAGAAUGGCGCGAGAUAGCUGUUAGCCAAUAAAAAUUACGUAUUAUAAUGAAACAUACAUGUAAUGUAAUUAUAAAGAUAUAGCAACUUUAAAAAACAUCUUAGCGACAACAUUCUAAAAAUGUAUGAUCAUCAACCACAUACCUGGUAAUACAAUAUGGUAAUCACUCCGUGUCUGGAAAAGACAGGAAACAUAUACAUACCUAAGAUCCAACAUCAACAUCACCCACAUACCUGGUAAUACAAUAUGGUAAUCACUCCGUGUCGUCUGGAAAAGACUGGAAACAUAUACCUAACUAAGAUCCAACAUCAACAUCAACCACAUACCUGGUAAUACAAUAUGGUAAUCACCCGUGUCUGGAAAAGACUUGAAACAUAUACCUAACUAAGAUCCAACAUCAACAACACCCACAUACCUGGUAAUACAAUAUGGUAAUCACUCCGUGUCUAGAAAAGACUUGAAACAUAUACCUAACUAAGAUCCAACAUCAACAUCAACCACAUAUCUGGUAAUACAAUAUGGUUAUCACUCCGUGUCUGGAAAAGACUGGAAACAUAUACCUAACUAAGAUCCACAUCAACAUCAACCACAUCCUGGUAAUACAAUAUGGUAAUCACUCCGUGUCUGGAAAAGACUUGAAACAUAUACCUAACUAAGAUCCAACAUCAACAUCAACCACAUACCUGAUAAUACAAUAUGGUAAUCACUCCGUGUCUGGAAAAGACUGGAAACAUAUACCUAACUAAGAUCCAACAUCAACAUCAACCACAUACCUGGUAAUACAAUAUGGUAAUCACUCCGUGUCUGGAAAAGACUGGAAACAUAUACCUAACUAAGAUCCAACAUCAACAUCAACCACAUACCUGGUAAUACAAUAUGGUAAUCACUCCGUGUCUGGAAAAGACUGGAAACAUAUACCUAACUAAGAUCCAACAUAACAUCAACCACAUACUGGUAAUAACAAUAUGGUAAUCACUCCGUGUCUGGAAAAGACUGGAAACAUAUACCUAACUAAGAUCCAACAUCAACAUCACACAUACCUGGUAAUACAAUAUGGUAAUCACUCCGUGUCUGGAAAAGACUGGAAACAUAUACCUAACUAAGAUCCAACAUCAACAUCAACCACAUACCUGGUAAUACAAUAUGGUAAUCACUCCGUGUCUGAAAAGACUGGAAACAUAUACCUAACUAAGAUCCAACAUCAACAUCAACCACAUACCUGAUAAUACAAUAUGGUAAUCACUCCGUGUCUGGAAAAGACUUAAAACAUAUACCUAACUAAGAUCCAACAUCAACAUCAACCACAUACCUGGUAAUACAAUAUGGUAAUUACUCCGUGUCUGGAAAAGACUGGAAACAUAUACCUAACUAAGAUCCAACAUCAACAUCAACCACAUACCUGGUAAUACAAUAUGGUAAUCACUCCGUGUCUGGAAAAGACUGGAAACAUAUACAUAACUAAGAUCCAACAUCAACAUCAAAUUAUUGCAACUCGUCUUCAAAUUGCCGCUAUAGAGUUUCGAUACAGUAAAAAAAAACAUACCGCAUAGUACGCUACAAAAGGCCCCGAUAUGAAAAUUUAAAACUAUUGAAACGAGAAAACUAACGGUCUGAUUGGAUUGCAAAAAUUAUGAACGAUAAACAAAUAUGAUAUACAGCUACAAAUGACAAACUUAACUCCCCCUCUCUAUAUCCGAGCCUUUUAUAGCUGACUUUACGGAACGAGUGUUUCUCAUCGUUGGCCUAUGAUUGCUAACAUCCACUUCAUGUGAGUUCUGUUAGACAGUUGUAUCUUUGGCGAUCUAACAAGAACACUUCCGUUCGUCAUUUUCUGAAUUGAAACAGAUUGUUUUCAAUAUUCAUAAAUUGUAUACAUUGAUAUUUUUGAAAUGUAAAUUGUUUGAAAAAAGUAAAAUCACAAAAUUACUAAACUCCGAGGAAGAUUCAAAAGAGAAGGUCCCAUAUAGCUAUCAAAUGGCACAAAAUCAAAAGCUCAAACACAUCAAACGUAUGGAUAACAACUAUGUUAUUUCGCGGAUUUCAAAACUCAGUCGUUCCCAGGAAAUGGCAGUCAAUAAAUAGCACUGAGUCUCAGUCUGGACAAUUUUAGAAUAAAUUUUAAAUGUCACAACCAAAUUAAUCUAUGAAAAAGAAUUUGUAAAACGAGAGGGAAACGCUGGGAUAACACUUAAUUGUGUAUAAAAGUAAAAAAAAAAAAAAAAAGUAUAUCUGAAUAAUACAAAUCCUUUUGCUAACUAGAUGAUGGAAGAAAAAAACCUAUUUGUACCAAAAGAUCGCAUCAUUAAAGAAAUAAAAAGAAAAGUACCCAAGAUUAUAAUUUACAAAAGCGGAAUGAAAAUCAUUACGAUGUAUUACUGUAUCAGACCAAAAAACUGAACCCACUUCUAAACUUUUAAUAUUUUAUAUGUUGUAAGAAGACAGGCUGUUAUUAAAUUCUUAUAUACACUAAAUUAAUAAUUCAUCAUUGCAAUAAUAAUUUGGUCAUUCAGUUUAAAGUGUGUAAUCUUUAUAUUGACCUUGGGUCAUAAUUGACGAUGGUAUAUAAACUCCGUUAUCCCAAAUUAAUUCAGUCAAAUUUGCAACAAAAUGAGGUGUACGUCAUAUUUAAUUGUCUUUAUUUUCUCUUUGUCUUUCUGUGUUGCAGAUGAUCCGUCUGGCUUUGCCGAAUUUUUCCGAACAAACUUAAACGAAUUUAAUGACAAACCAAUAACAUUUUCAUAUCCUGUUCCAAGAUGGCUAAAAGGAACAUUG
rnacentral:lncRNA from 1 species